rnacentral:misc_RNA from 1 species
CAGGGGCAACUUAAACCCAGAAUUGGAGAAUCCUGAGAUCCCAAACUCAAUACUAGUGGGCAAAAACCCUAGAAAACCUGAAACCCAUUUCAUAGGAUCAUUCAAAAUGAUCAGAAGAAGAUUGUUUUCUUCACUGCUUUCAUCAACCUUAAUCCUCAACACCAGAAUCAGCGCAAAACCCAUUUCUCACGCCCUAAUACCAUCUUUUCAGUUACUUCAAUCUCUACAAUGCCCAAAUCCUAACAAUUACACUUCUAAUGGGGCAUUUUGGUUUGUGGGUAUUAGGGGUUACAGCCUGUUGAGUUUAAAUGAUUUAAGGGACAAGGUGCCAAGGAAGCAGAAGACAAGGAAAGGACGUGGGAUUGGGUCUGGGAAGGGAAAGACUGCAGGGAGAGGUCACAAGGGUCAGAAGGCUCGAGGGACUAUGAAGUUUGGCUUUGAAGGUGGCCAGACACCCAUGCGCCGCCGGUUGCCAAAAAGAGGGUUUAAGAACCCCUUUAGCCUAACUUUUCAGCCAGUAGGGUUGGGAAAGAUUGCAAAACUUAUAAAUGAAGGAAAGAUAGAUUCACAUGAAUUAAUCACGAUGAAAACUCUCAAGGAUACUGGCGCCAUAGGAAAGCAGAUAAAAGAUGGCGUAAGAUUGAUGGGGCGUGGUGCUGAUCAGAUUAAAUGGCCUAUCCAUCUAGAGGUGUCACGAGUGACUGUUAGGGCAAAGCAAGCAGUUGAAGCAGCUGGAGGAUCUGUCAGACGAGUGCAUUACAACAAGCUGGGCUUCCGGGCAUUGCUGAAGCCAGAGUGGUUUGAAAAGAAGGGCAGGUUGUUGCCAAAACCAGCCAGGCCUCCACCAAAGCUGAAGGAUAAAGUUGACAGCAUUGGCCGCUUGCCUGCUCCAACCAAACCUAUUCCAUUUUAUGCUGAAGAAAAAGAAGCAGCUCCUACUGCUGCCUAGUUUAUCGGUGACCAUUUUGUUAUAGUUAUUUAACAAGUUGUAUUUU